ACGGAGGGUGCAAGCGUUAUCCGGAUUUACUGGGUUUAAAGGGUGUGUAGGCGGGCUUUUAAGUCAGUGGUGAAAUCUCCGGGCUCAACCUGGAAACUGCCAUUGAUACUAUUAGUCUUGAAUUUUGUUGAGGUAGGCGGAAUAAGUCAUGUAGCGGUGAAAUGCAUAGAUAUGACUUAGAACACCAAUUGCGAAGGCAGCUUGCUAAACAAAUAUUGACGCUGAGGCACGAAAGCGUGGGGAUCAAACAGGA
rnacentral:rRNA from 1 species